UCAAGCAUUAGGAGCACGUAUAUAUGCAAUUAUUUAUCUCCAGCAACGUUGCCGGAUGGCAGGGUGGUAAAUUUCGUCUAUCCUCUUCGGAAACGACCUCGGUUCGAUACCCGCCUUCUGCAUUUUUUUUCCUCCCAAUUUUAAUUUUUUCGUCCUUCUUCUCCGUCGAAAAAGCCAUGGAUAUCGACGACCCUUCCGCCCGUCGCAGAAAGCAUGGGUUCAUUUCCAAAGCCCAACCUCGCAAGAAUCGCGAACCAACUGUUCCCACUCCCGACGUCGGCGGCGACGACGAUGACGGUCAAGAAACUCGUCGGGCGCAGACUCUGCUGAGUGAGUACAAUGAGAGAAGACGGGGGGAUAAAGUCGAAAAGAUGUUGCAGUCUCAUGGUUCUGAGAGAGUUUACGAUGCUUUCCAUCUCUUGCAAACUGAGUCUUCUGUGCAGAGAAUGGUGAUGGCAUUGUCAUCUGAUACAGCGGUUUGGGAUGCUGUGAUGAACAAUGAGGUGGUGCGGGAGCUCCGGGGGUCUUCCUAUGCAGGGCUAUGUUGUUUCGUGUGAGAUGCGGUGGACGUAAGUCUUAAGAGACCAGUUUUUAAGGGUAUUGUGUAUAGUAAACCCUCAAACCAGGGCGUCACUCAAUUGAAAUAACAACGGAGCAAGCGCGCGGUUGCAGAGUAACAGGCUGGCCGGAAACUAGGCGGUCUCAAGGUUCUCAACUCUUACUGGGUUAACGAGGAUUCAACAUACAAAUAUUAUGAGGGGUAAUCUUGGUUGAAGCUGCCCACAAUGCAAUCCGCAACGACACAAGGAUGAACUGGAUCUGCAAUCGGUUCAACCACAGGGAGCUUGGCGGACUCACUUCUGCUGGAAAGAAGUGCAGAGGCUUGAAUAUCAAGGGACACUUGCACCGCAAGCUACAACGGUCGAGGAGGGCAAAUUGGAAGAGGAACAACAUGGUAUCUCUUCCACGCUAUCGAAUUGAAUGUACUGACUUUGCUAGUUUAUGUUUGGUUUUAGGCAUUGGAAGAGAGAAGCUGUCGAGUGUUGCUAUUGGUAAACUAGCUUUGGACUAUUUAUCAUACGAAUGCUUAAAUAAGUUGGUUUUUGCCCCUUCUAUAAGUUCCUGCUAUUGGUAAAUUGCUUUUGUGAUUGAUUCAAUUUUUAAGACAUUCUAAGCCGUUUGUGUGGAUGUUAGCAUAGAAUUCACAAACUCCAAGACCGAAACAUGAACUACAACCUAGAGAGAAUUAACCAGUUUACAUGUAUAAAAGACUAGGAAGAAAAGCAUACCUGCAGCAGUUCCAGA